rnacentral:rRNA from 1 species
UACGGGGGGAGCAAGCGUUGUUCGGAUUUACUGGGCGUAAAGGGCGCGUAGGCGGCGCAACAAGUCACUUGUGAAAUCUCCGGGCUUAACCCGGAGCGGUCAAGUGAUACUGUCGUGCUAGAGUGCGGAAGGGGCUACUGGAAUUCUUGGUGUAGCGGUGAAAUGCGUAGAUAUCAAGAGGAACACCUGCGGCGAAGGCGGGUUGCUGGGCCGACACUGACGCUGAUGCGCGAAGCCAGGGGAGCGAACGGG